AGCAGCCGCGGUAAUUCCAGCUCCAAUAGCGUAUAUUAAAGUUGUUGCAGUUAAAAAGCUCGUAGUUGAAUUUCGGGAUCAAUAUGUUGGUCGUGCCUUGGUACGUACUGGCAUUAUUGGUUUCUACCUUCUGAAGAACCUCGAUGUCAUUAAUUUGGUGUCUUGGGGAAUCAGGACUGUUACUUUGAAAAAAUUAGAGUGUUUAAAGCAGGCUCGCGCUUGAAUACAUUAGCAUGGAAUAAUGAAAUAGGACGUUUGAUUCUAUUUUGUUGGUUUCUAGGAUUGACGUAAUGAUUAAUAGGGAUAGUUGGGGGCAUUAGUAUUCAAUUGUCAGAGGUGAAAUUCUUGGAUUUAUUGAAGACUAACUACUGCGAAAGCAUUUGCCAAGGAUGUUUUCAUUAAUCAAGAACGAAAGUUAGGGGAUCGAAGACGAUCAGAUACCGUCGUAGUCUUAACCAUAAACUAUGCCGACUAGGGAUCGGAUGAUGUUAAUUUUUUAAUGACUCAUUCGGCGCCUUAC
rnacentral:misc_RNA from 1 species